AAAUAAGUAGUCCUAAAAUCUCUAAUAUUUCCUAUAUCAAUAGGUGGUUAGGAGCUAUGAAUUAAAUUAAAUAAUAUUUUGAAUAUCCCUUGUAGAUGGUACUUGCUAGUUAACUUGUCAAGCAUUGCAUAAGAAACUUGCCUAAUCAAUGACAUAAUUCAUUAGAAAAUAAGUACUCCAAGGCUGUGUAUGUUGAGUGUGAGGGAUGGGUCAAUAUGCGAAAAGGUGACUUGAGACAAAUAAUUGUUGAUAUAAUAAAUAAACAAAUAUCGUACUAAAUAAUAUAGGGAAGUAUAGUAAAUUAACGUAUAUGCAAAUAAUAUUUAUUUACAUUUUUUUUAUUGGGGAUAUAUAUCUAUUUUUAAAUGCAAAGUUUUGUUACUAUUGUCCUGUGGUACUGGAUGAGUUUAAGGCUCUUAAAAGCACAAGGCACAGUCAAAGCAAUGCAUUACCCCAUCACUUAAAGCGCAAAGUGCAAAAAAGGGAAGCGCAAAAUUAUUGAAAGUAAACUAAUAAUGUAAUAUAUAAAGAAAAUACAAUCUUCUAUAUAACAUUUAAACUCUUAAGAAAUCAUCAAACGUCCAAAAGAUUUUUAGCUUUCAAAUUCAUAGCUAGAGAUCUUCACUAAAUUUUCCAUCAAAGUCCUCAACACUUUUACCCUCAUCUCCGAAAUAAGAUCAAUUUCCAUCAAAAUCUUCAUCUAAAUUAAUCUCACAUUUUUCAACAUUAGCCUUGAAGUUGAGGCUCUUUGCGCAUUGCCUUUUUAAGUGCAAAAAGCCCUUGCUUCGCUAAACACACUCUGCUUAGCAUAUAUGUAAAAACGCUUUCCUAUUUGUCAUUGUGCUUAAGCGAGCGCUUUUGACUACACUGGAUAGGUAAAAGGGGGAAAAAAUAAAGGGAACUAAAUAGGACAAAAAUCCACUUCUAUCAUGUUCAAUUAGUGCUCCGAAUUGCCUUGCCCAUUUUAGUCCAAUCAAUUUAACCAAACAUAAAGUAAAAGUAUCUGGAAGUCUUUCGCUGACUAAUCAACACUUCCUAAGAAAGAUCUAUAAUUUGCUGUAUAAGUUGUUUGUGUGUAUGUCUGUGUGUGUGUGU
rnacentral:misc_RNA from 1 species